UCCUCACCCAAAUUUGUCAUCCCUUUUUUCCAGUCGUGCUCCUAAGAAAUCCCUGGUCAUCCGCGCAAACAACUGGCCACAGAUUAUGCGUGGAGAUGUAAGCACACAUCUGGCCAUCGCCCCUCCCAAGAAAAGUGCACAGCCAGGAAGGUGCACGCCCCAGAGCUCUGCCUGCAGACAGACUGUCCUUCAGGGACAUCUUGGGGAUGGACAGCGGUGCUGCAGCGGUCCACUUCUAGGCAUCGCCUUCACGCUGUGCAGGACACUCAUAAGCCGUGCUUGACUCUCCCUUCCUUAGCUCGCAGAGGGCUCCCGGUGAGGCGGCAGGUGCAGGACCGACAGGGAGGCAGUGUAGCAGGAGUGGGGACCGCAGGCAUUCGGGCCACUUUGCGUAACUCGCUUUUGCCUUCAGGGCCUGUGCAGAUGUGGUCACGUCCGUACCACUUCCAUGGUGAUGACGUGCUGCUGUGCACGCCCACCUUGGUGGAUGAGUGGGUCAGAUGACACCCAGAUCAUGACGGGGAGCUCGGGCGGCAUAACUCAGCUCGGGCAGUACGCAGUUUUUGCUAAGGCCUGGUAUUAGGCUUCUGGAAAGAGUAUCCGCACAGGAUGACAAAGCCUUUUUCCGAAAGCCUAAAGGCCUACGCUGUUUUUCACCUACGGCGGGUACCAGAGGCCCCCAACAGCACCUCCACUUGUCACAGACACCUCAGGCACAGUGGUUCCGCCGUGUCGCCCAGCCUGUGUGGCACAGCGAUGUCCAGCGGAGCCUGUUCCUAUUCGUGGUGCCCCUCGGUGCCGGCUUCUUCUUUGGUCACUCAGCGCAUGGGCUGGGGUGCCACCCGCAAAGGGGGAACAUGCAGCCCUCGGAGCGUAAAGGUGCCCCCUAGCCGCUGUGCUGCUUUCUGCGGGUCAGGAAACCCGCAUGGGGAUUCUGCCAGGCGUUAGGCGGUUCUGUUCCAGUUACGCCUUCUGCAAUUGGGCAAAUGCCCACAGGAUGGGGCUGGGGACCCACUGGAUUUAUUAUGAGGCAGACCUGAGAUAAAAUGCUACCGACCGCGGGGCCUCCAAAGCCCCUGCCCUGACUGGCUGGCGGCAGCACUCUUCCAGACGCCCUGGGAUGAACCUGGCCUCACAGCCGCGGGCACUAGUCCCUCCCAGUUCUGUUUGUCUCCCCAGUGCGCGCCUGCCCUUGUAAAUGCCACCGGAACCUUGAAGGGGGCUGGGAGAGAGUGAGCCCUCGCACUUUCCCAGAAGGCCUGGGCCUUGCCCGGGCUGGGUGGGUGGCAUCUGUCCCCGUCUGGGACGUGACAGAGGAGCCACGACUUGCCACAGUUGUCCGGGGAUCAGGACGGCUGCGAUGGCUCCUCUGCCUCCGCUGGCGGCGAGGGCCACCACGCGCGUCUUGCCUGAGGGGUUUCUCAGCCCCAGGGCGGCGCUCCCACUGUGAGUUCCAGCCCACGGGGGAAGCACAGCUCUUCGGGACUCCAGGCCUCUUCUCACAGAGCAUUUCUCACCACCUUCAUGAAGGCGUAUUUUUCAGCCCCUCCAGUGAGGGUGCCAGGUCUAAAGCAGCGAGGGCGAACCUUUUAGAGACCGAGGGUCCAAACUGCUUGUGAUGUCCUCGCCUGGCUGCUACUCCUUUCUGAGCAUGCGCAUGCCCCCCAGGUGCGUUUUCACCUGUCGUUGGCUGCUGCGGCGACCUGGCGGGAGGGCCGGCAAAGCCAGGUAAAUUCGCCGGCCCUGGAAGGCGAAUAAAUCCAUUGCCAACCACGAGAGGGCGAGAGUGUCUCACGUUAAUUGAUGAGUGCUUGUACUCAGAAAAUACAGUAACAAGCCUCAAUUCAUGGUCGCGUCCACGGACUCGGGCAGAGCAGAGUAACUUCCAUGGGAGCAAAUAGCACUCCUGGGUUCCAGGCUAUGGAAAAGACCACAACUGGAGUCAUGGUGUCACUCAAGAGCAUGGAGCAAGACUUGGGCUGAAAAACAUCAGGCAUGAAUGACGGUCACCCUCACGACAGUGCUGCAGUGCCAUCCAACCACCUCCUCUUGUCCCUGACUGCUUGUAGCGUGCUCUCGGAAGCUGGUAAGGUCCGCGAGAUCAUAAACGUGAAACCCGAACUAAAACACCCGUAGGAAGAGCUGGUCCUGGUAACUGAAAGAGGCAAACACCCCUAGCUCGCAAUUUUAUACCAGCCCUGCCUUUUCCUGACGUCCUUACGCCAGGCACAUGUCUGUGCCAAUCAGAACAGGCGCUGGGGGCUGAGGAUUUAG